UUCUUUCAUUUUUUUUUUAAUGAAAGGACACAAAACUUCUUUGUUAGAAGUUUGUUACUUGUCUGAUUCAAUUUGCUGAAAGAUAAAUCCCUCUGUGUUACUGCAUCAGUGUGUUACCGUCCAAGAGAAAAGCUCCCUUGUCUUGGAACAACCAACUUAACUAUUGUGUCAAACUCCAUCACUUGCCAACCUGUCCUUAAAGGCUGUUGCUAAUACAGUAUUGGGCAGAAAUUUUCUCUUUGAGUUGAUCCUGUGAUAUCUCCACUUUUUCACCUGAAAAAAAAAAGAAUCAUAUUCUACGUCCUUCAGAAUUUGUCUGUUCAUUUUGACACUGCAAUGUUGGUCUUUUCUUCUUCAUGGCUCAAGCAUUUAUCAUCUUAUGCUUCUGUUAUCAACCAAACAAGACUGAAAGUGUGAGAUGCCAUCCCCUGGAAGAACUGCUUAGUGAAUGUGGGAUGGUGUGACCCUCAUGUUCUGCCUGAUAAGUGAAAAAAACAGUGGAAAUGAUUCUUCUCACACCUAAAGUGCUUUGUUUACCUUGGUGUAUGCUGGAAAACUUGAAACUCUGCUUCUGAGAGACAGUGCCUUCUGAGCUUUGUGAAUUGAGUGUGUGUUUGGCAAGAAUGGAAUAAGAAUCUCUUCAUUUCAGGAUAGGAGGGGGAAAUAAGCAUUUGAAACAUGAGACUUUCGAACUGCCAUGGUACUGGAAUGUUAUACUGCUGAAUGUCAUGUAUGUAUGUACAAGCACAUGCUUGUAUUCUGGUCUCAUUGGGUAUUCUGGUCAAGAUGGGAGUGUCAAGGGCGGAUCAGUUCUGGUCAUGAAGUGCCACGUUGACGUAGCUGUUGCACACAGCUUUUAAGUCUGGUGUGUAUUCUGUGACAGCCUGUUGUAAGGUAAAGAGCCUGAAAGUACAUCUAAAGUUACUGAGAUCCACCUGAGCAAGGCCUGUUUCAGUUACCAGUGAUAAAAGAACGUGGUAGGACAGAAGCUGUAUGGUUUGCUCACAGACCUCUCCUGUAAGAAGAUGCCUAUAUCAAAUGUGAAGACUAGACCUUAGAAGUACGGUAUUUGUACUCUGAGAUCUAGGGUAUAAUGCUAACUUUAUGCUUCCACAUUGACAGCUCACACUACACAGGCCAGCCAACAGAGUUCCAGCAACUUUGGGCCUCCUGAAUUAUUUUUGCUGACUGGAAUAAACUGAAUGAAAAACUGCUACUUGUUAUCCCUACCUCUAGGGAUAGGAAAGUUAUUUUACUGAGCCAAAACACUGAUUUAAAAAAAAAAUACUUGUUCCUUUUGAUAUAUUUAUACAAAUGAUGUUAAAGUUUUCCUGUGUUAUGUAAAGGCAAUUUAAAGAAAGGUAAUUUUUUUAAUUCAAUAAAAGCACUACAUAUUUCUUUCCUACAGCA